GCCUUCGUGGUGUAGUGGUCAGCACGCUCGACGCAUAACUGAGAGGUUCGUGGUUCGUGGUUCGAUUCCCGUCGAAGGCG
rnacentral:tRNA from 1 species